rnacentral:rRNA from 1 species
GUGCCAGCAGCCGCCGCGGUAAUACGUAGGGUGCGAGCGUUAAUCGGAAUUACUGGGCGUAAAGCGUGCGCAGGCGGUUUUGUAAGUCAGAUGUGAAAUCCCCGAGCUCAACUUGGGAACUGCGUUUGAAACUACAAGACUAGAAUAUGUCAGAGGGGGGUAGAAUUCCACGUGUAGCAGUGAAAUGCGUAGAGAUGUGGAGGAACACCGAUGGCGAAGGCAGCCCCCUGGGCCAAUACUGACGCUCAUGCACGAAAGCGUGGGGAGCAAACAGGAUUAGAUACCCUGGUAGUCCACGCCC